AGAGUUUGAUCCUGGCUCAGGAUGAACGCUAGCGGCAGGCUUAACACAUGCAAGUCGAGGGGUAACAGGGAUUGCUUGCAAUCCGCUGACGACCGGCGCACGGGUGCGUAACGCGUAUGCAACCUACCUUCUACAGGGGGAUAGUCAAUAGAAAUGUUGAAUAAUACCCCAUACGAUCAUUAAUCUGCAUGGAUUGAUGAAGAAAGUUCCGGCGGUAGAAGAUGGGCAUGCGUCCUAUUAGUUAGUUGGUAAGGUAACGGCUUACCAAGACAUCGAUAGGUAGGGGUCCUGAGAGGGAGAUCCCCCACACUGGUACUGAGACACGGACCAGACUCCUACGGGAGGCAGCAGUGAGGAAUAUUGGACAAUGGAGGCAACUCUGAUCCAGCCAUGCCGCGUGCAGGAAGACUGCCCUAUGGGUUGUAAACUGCUUUUAUACAGGAAGAAUAGUACCUACGUGUAGGUAUUUGACGGUACUGUACGAAUAAGGAUCGGCUAACUCCGUGCCAGCAGCCGCGGUAAU
rnacentral:rRNA from 1 species